GGAAAACACAUGUGGUGAAUUUAAGCACGUCUUGAAAUAAAGAAACAGACCUUUCACUUGCUGUCUGAUGGCGGGGACUGUCUCAUAGGAAUGGUCUUGGGGACAUGGUGGCAGUGAGCAAGAUGUGACCAGGAAGAAGGAUCAGAGAGAUGUGACAACAGAGGACUCUGACUGGCUUUGAAGAUGGAGCAUGAAGGUUUCCAGACAAAUAUACAGAAGCCUCUAGAAGCUGGGACUGACUCUUUGUUUCCAGCCAGCAAGAAAACAGGCAUCUUAGUCCUACAACUUCAAGGAACUGCAUUCUGGCAACAAUCUGAAUGAGUACGAACCAGACUCUUUCUUAGAGCCUUCAAAAAGGAACACAGGGGGCUUCCCUGGUGGCGCAGUGGUUGAGAGUCCGUCUGCCGAUGCAGGGGACACGGGUUCGUGCCCCGGUCUGGGAAGAUCCCACAUGCCGCGGAGCGGCUAGGCCCGUGAGCCAUGGCCGCUGAGCCUGCGCGUCCGGAGCCUGUGCUCCGCAACGGGAGAGGCCACAACAGGGAGAGGCCCGCGUACCGCAAAAAAAAAAAAAAAAAAAAAAAGGAAC